UACAGAGGGUGCGAGCGUUGUUCGGAAUUAUUGGGCGUAAAGAGCUCGUAGGCGGCUUGUCACGUCGGGUGUGAAAGCCCGGGGCUUAACCCCGGGUCUGCAUUCGAUACGGGCAGGCUAGAGUGUGGUAGGGGAGAUCGGAAUUCCUGGUGUAGCGGUGAAAUGCGCAGAUAUCAGGAGGAACACCGGUGGCGAAGGCGGAUCUCUGGGCCAUUACUGACGCUGAGGAGCGAAAGCGUGGGGAGCGAACAGG
rnacentral:rRNA from 1 species